UGAGGAAUAUUGGUCAAUGGGCGGAAGCCUGAACCAGCCAAGUCGCGUGAGGGAAUAAGGCCCUACGGGUCGUAAACCUCUUUUGCCGGGGAGCAAAGGGCGGGGACGUGUCCCGGCCCGGAGAGUACCCGGNGAAAAAGCAUCGGCUAACUCCGUGCC
rnacentral:rRNA from 1 species